CUAUACUUGCUUAUUGAAUUCUAUGCAUUAUGGACUUUACCAGAGAGAAGAAGCUGCACUUAGAAGCAUAUAGACUGCAGGAGGGAGAAAGUGAUGGAGAAAUACCCACCAGAGGCACAACUGUAAGAUUUGAACUCAGGGUAUUUGGAACUGCUGCAGCCACUUUUGGACCAAGAAGUAACAAACACAAAAUGAAAAGUCAAUUCACUAAGAAUGGUAGAGCUGAGACUGGGUUGUUAAACAAACCUCCUGGUUUGUGUUUAGUGUUUUGACACAGGUUUGACCAGAGACAAUGCUUGAGAUUUGUGUCACUUACCAAAAUACAAGAGUCCUGAGGUUCAAGGUCAAAGUCAGUGAAGUUCAAGAGAACACGGUGAUGUUUUUCCACUUGAA